rnacentral:pre_miRNA from 1 species
AAUAGAAGAAUGACAAGUCAGAUUUUUUUCAGCUUUUUCCUCUUAACAAAAUUCAAAUUCAACUAAAAAUACUAAAAAUCAGGAGAAAAGAUCUGAUUUGUCAUUUUCUUAUU